CUUCGUUUUCUCUUUCUUCAGAUGAUGAUCCCAAGCCUUCUGGCGAUCUCUUAAAAUAAAGCCUCACGUCAUAAUCCCUGCACGUUUUUCAAAGAAAAACAUGCCUUUCAAGGUGCUCUGGAUUUUAAAAACAAUGGGUUUACUCGAAACUUAUGAGCUUUAAAGACUAUGGGUUUUUAAAAAAAGCUUUAAAAGGAAAUGAUCCAAAAAGCUUUUCCAGUGAUUUAAGAUGAUACCGGGGAAGGUUUUCCGGUUUAUCCCGGAGGGCUUGUAGCUCAGUUGGUUAGAGCGCGCGCUUGAUAAGCGUGAGGUCGGAGGUUCAAGUCCUCCCAGGCCCACCAAUUUAGGAUUGCUUAACCCACUAAAGACCCUCUCUAUAAAAAUACCUAUCGUUGGAGAAAGCUCUUUAUAGUCUGGCUCUUUUUAUAGUCUAGAAUUGUCAGUAAAAUGUCCGAUAAAAUAUCAAAUAUAUUUUGCAAAAAUACUGACAAUAAUAAAGCUCUUGACAAUAUAAAACUACUGACAGAAUAAAAUUACUGACAGGUUGUCGCUUUAAGGGUUUUGAAGCGUUUUAUUUUAGGGGCCGUAGCUCAGCUGGGAGAGCACCUGCUUUGCAAGCAGGGGGUCGUCGGUUCGAUCCCGUCCGGCUCCACCAUUUGGUCAUCAUCAAUGUUGUAAGAACACUGUUUAGUGAGAGGUUUAUAGACCUUUUGCUUGUUCUAUUGAAAUUG
rnacentral:tRNA from 1 species